GGAGGAGUCGCAUAGUUGGUCUAGUGCGCAGUCCUGGAAAGACUGUACCCGGGCAACUGGGUCGCGAGUUCGAAUCUCGCCUCCUCCGCCA
rnacentral:tRNA from 1 species